rnacentral:rRNA from 1 species
GGUUCAGAACGAACGCUGGCGGCAGGCCUAACACAUGCAAGUCGAGCGCGCCCUUCGGGGUGAGCGGCGGACGGGUUAGUAACGCGUGGGAACGUACCCUUUGGUAGGGAAUAGCCACUGGAAACGGUGAGUAAUACCCUAUGAGCCCUUCGGGGGAAAGAUUUAUCGCCAAAGGAUCGGCCCGCGUUAGAUUAGGUAGUUGGUGGGGUAAUGGCCUACCAAGCCUACGAUCUAUAGCUGGUUUUAGAGGAUGAUCAGCAACACUGGGACUGAGACACGGCCCAGACUCCUACGGGAGGCAGCAGGUGGGGAAUCUUGGACAAGUGGGGGCAACCCUGAAUCCAGCCAUGCCGCGUGAGUGAAGAAGGCCUUAGGGUCGUAAAGCUCUUUCGCCUGUGAAGAUAAUGACGGUAGCAGGUAAAGAAACCCCGGCUAACUCCGUGCCAGCAGCCGC